rnacentral:rRNA from 1 species
GACGAACGCUGGCGGCGUGCCUAAUACAUGCAAGUCGAGCGCAGGAAACUGACGGAACUCUUCGGAGGGAAGGCAGUGGAAUGAGCGGCGGACGGGUGAGUAACACGUAAGGAACCUGCCUCAAGGAUUGGGAUAACUCCGAGAAAUCGGAGCUAAUACCGGAUAGUUCAACGGACCGCAUGGUCCGCUGAUGAAAGGCGCUCCGGCGUCACCUUGAGAUGGCCUUGCGGUGCAUUAGCUAGUUGGUGGGGUAACGGCCCACCAAGGCGACGAUGCAUAGCCGACCUGAGAGGGUGAUCGGCACCACUGGGACUGGGACACGGCCCAGACUCCUACGGGAGGCAGCAGUAGGGAAUCUUCCACAAUGGACGAAAGUCUGAUGGAGCAACGCCGCGUGAGUGAUGAAGGUUUUCGGAUCGUAAAACUCUGUUGUAAGGGAAGAACACGUACGAGAGGGAAUGCUCGUACCUUGACGGUACCUUACGAGAAAGCCACGGCUAACUACGUGCCAGCAGCCGCAGUAAAAC